rnacentral:lncRNA from 9 species
AACCCGACUUUUGGUUUUCUUUUGUUUCCUACUUGUAUUUUCCCUUGCUGAUGAACUUUAUCAAUAUUUUUAAAAAUCCUGUUGUAAUACAUGAAUUUACAUGACCCACGUCACAUCCUCUUUAGAAGUAGACAGUCUAUGUAACUGACCACACUACUACCUUAGUUAUUUAUUAGCAGAGGAAGGCAGUACAAACAAUGAAUAUUACUCCCUGUUGAAAACACUGUCUCUGACCAUUUUAGAGCACAUGAAGGAAGAGUGGACUCAAGCUCGGCCUGGCUUACCAGGUUUCUUGACUGUGAUGAUCUACAAGAGCAGGUCUGCGUCUUACAUACACUGAAAAUGAAGAAUUCAGAACUCAAUUCUAAACUUAAGCCAAGGUGCAAAAGAAGGAAGAAAAGAUCAAGGAACUCAGAACAGAAUUCCAGCAAAACUGAACCCAGAACAUGAGCCCUCAGAUUGCUCGUGAAUGUCAGGACCUCUUCUACCAGGUCUAAAGGCAGAUAGAAAGAUGAUCAUCCUCACUACCAGUUCCAGCGCCUCCUCUGACCAAAACACUUGCUCUUCUUCCUCUGACUUCUUUACCUAGAAUAAGUGGUAAACCAUCACCACC